rnacentral:rRNA from 1 species
GACGAACGCUGGCGGCACGCCUAACACAUGCAAGUCGAACGGACGAGGGAGAGCUUGCUCUUCUAAGUUAGUGGCGGACGGGUGAGUAACACGUGAGCAACCUACCCUUGAGAGGGGGAUAGCUUCUGGAAACGGAUGGUAAUACCCCAUAACAUAUAUUUAUCGCAUGGUAGAUAUAUCAAAAGAAAUUCGCUCAAGGAUGGGCUCGCGUCUGAUUAGAUAGUUGGUGAGGUAACGGCUCACCAAGUCGACGAUCAGUAGCCGGACUGAGAGGUUGAACGGCCACAUUGGGACUGAGACACGGCCCAG